rnacentral:lncRNA from 1 species
CCCUCGCCCUCUCUUUCUCUCUCUCUCUCUCUCUCAACAAAAUACAGGCAGGCCCCUGUUAUGCAAAGCCGGAGGAGAAGGGACUCUCCUCCCUCUCUUAGUCUCUCUCUGUCUUCCCCUUCCCUCCCUCUCUCUCGCUCCUUUCCUCUCCCUCCCUCCUCUAUCUCUCUCUUUUCCUCUCUCCCCUCCCUCUCCCACCCUAUUUGCUCUUUGUCAAGACAUGCCAAAAUGGCAUGGCAUAGUACUGUACCAUACCAUACCGCCGGCCUACUAGUAUGGGUGCUGGUUCUAAUAUUGUAAAUAUUAGAAAAUAUGAUUAUUUUUGUAGAUCAAUGAAAGGGCUAAACCUAGAGACAAGAACUCCCUUUUUCUUGGGCCUAUCGUUUAAGAAAGAGUCUUAGUUUUGUCAGGUUUAAUUUUAUUAUUGUAACAGAUCUUUUUGCAUCAAAUCAUUGGUGUUUUGCUAGAUGUCUAUAUGGGAUAGUUUUGACACCUAAUAGGUCUUUAGUGCCUUUCAACUUUCUGUUCAAGUUCUUUAGUGUCUUUCAACUUUCAGUUGGAGUUCUAUUUGAACUC